AAAAGAAACCAACAGGGAUUGCCUCAGUAACGGCGAGUGAAGCGGCAACAGCUCAAAUUUGAAAUCUGGCUCCCUCUGGGGGUCCGAGUUGUAAUUUGAAGAGGGUGCUUUGGCGUCGACGGCGGUCUAAGUCCCUUGGAACAGGGCAUCACAGAGGGUGAGAAUCCCGUAUGUGGCCGCAAGCCUUCGCCGUGUAAAGCCCCUUCGACGAGUCGAGUUGUUUGGGAAUGCAGCUCUAAAUGGGAGGUAAAUAUCUUCUAAAGCUAAAUACCGGCCAGAGACCGAUAGCGCACAAGUAGAGUGAUCGAAAGAUGAAAAGCACUUUGGAAAGAGAGUCAAACAGCACGUGAAAUUGUUGAAAGGGAAGCGCUUGCAGCCAGACUUGCUCGCAGUUGCUCAUCCGGGCUCUCGCCCGGUGCACUCUUCUGCGGGCAGGCCAGCAUCAGUUUGGGCAGCCGGAUAAAGACCUCUGUCACGUAUCUUCCUUCGGGAAGACCUUAUAGGGGAGGUGUAAUGCGGCUAGCCCGGACUGAGGUCCGCGCAUCUGCUAGGAUGCUGGCGUAAUGGCUGUAAGCGGCCCG
rnacentral:rRNA from 1 species